UACGUAGGCAGCGAGCGUUGUUCGGAGUUACUGGGCGUAAAGGGUGUGUAGGCGGUUGUUUAAGGUUGGUGUGAAAUCUCCCGGCUCAACUGGGAGGGUGCGCCGAAUACUGAAUGACUCGAGUGUGGGAGAGGUGAGUGGAAUUCCUGGUGUAGCGGUGAAAUGCGUAGAUAUCAGGAGGAACACCGGUGGUGUAGACGGCUCACUGGACCAUAACUGACGCUGAGACACGAAAGCGUGGGUAGCAAACAGG
rnacentral:rRNA from 1 species